UGAGGAAUAUUGGUCAAUGGGCGCAAGCCUGAACCAGCCAUCCCGCGUGCAGGAAGACGGCGCUAUGCGUUGUAAACUGCUUUUCCAGGGGGAGAAACUUGCGCACGUGUUGCGCAAUUGACGGUACCCUGGGAAUAAGCAUCGGCUAACUCCGUGCCAGCAGCCGCGGUAAUACGGAGGAUGCGAGCGUUAUCCGGAUUCAUUGGGUUUAAAGGGUGCGUAGGCGGACUAUUAAGUCAGUGGUGAAAUCCUGCAGCUUAACUGCAGAACUGCCAUUGAUACUGAUAGCCUUGAGUUUGGUUAAGGUAGGCGGAAUGUGUAAUGUAGCGGUGAAAUGCUUAGAUAUUACACAGAACACCAAUUGUGUAGGCAGCUUACUGAGCCGACACUGACGCUGAGGCACGAAGGCGUGGGGAUCGAACAG
rnacentral:rRNA from 1 species